UACGAAGGGGGCUAGCGUUGCUCGGAAUUAUUGGGCGUAAAGAGCUCGUAGGCGGCUUGUCACGUCGGAUGUGAAAGCCCGAGGCUUAACCUCGGGUCUGCAUUCGAUACGGGCUAGCUAGAGUGUGGUAGGGGAGAUCGGAAUUCCUGGUGUAGCGGUGAAAUGCGCAGAUAUCAGGAGGAACACCGGUGGCGAAGGCGGAUCUCUGGGCCAUUACUGACGCUGAGGAGCGAAAGCGUGGGGAGCGAACAGG
rnacentral:rRNA from 1 species